rnacentral:rRNA from 1 species
CGUAACAAGGUCUCCGUAGGUGAACCUGCGGNNGGAUCAUUACACAAAUAUGAAGGCGGGCUGGAACCUCUCGGGGUUACAGCCUUGCUGAAUUAUUCACCCUUGUCUUUUGCGUACUUCUUGUUUCCUUGGUGGGUUCGCCCACCACUAGGACAAACAUAAACCUUUUGUAAUUGCAAUCAGCGUCAGUAACAAAUUAAUAAUUACAACUUUCAACAACGGAUCUCUUGGUUCUGGCAUCGAUGAAGAACGCAGCGAAACGCGAUAAGUAGUGUGAAUUGCAGAAUUCAGUGAAUCAUCGAAUCUUUGAACGCACAUUGCGCCCUUUGGUAUUCCAAAGGGCAUGCCUGUUCGAGCGUCAUUUGUACCCUCAAGCUUUGCUUGGUGUUGGGCGUCUUGUCUCUAGCUUUGCUGGAGACUCGCCUUAAAGUAAUUGGCAGCCGGCCUACUGGUUUCGGAGCGCAGCACAAGUCGCACUCUCUAUCAGCAAAGGUCUAGCAUCCAUUAAGCCUUUUUUUCAACUUUUGACCUCGGAUCAGGUAGGGAUACCCGCUGAACUUAAGCAUAUCA